UACGAAGGGGGCUAGCGUUGCUCGGAAUGACUGGGCGUAAAGCGCACGUAGGCGGUCUUUUAAGUCGGGGGUGAAAUCCUGGAGCUCAACUCCAGAACUGCCUCGAUACUGGAAGACUCGAGUCCGGGAGAGGUGAGUGGAACUGCGAGUGUAGAGGUGAAAUUGUAGAUAUUCGCAAGAACACCAGUGGCGAAGGCGGCUCACUGGCCCGGUACUGACGCUGAGGUGCGAAAGCG
rnacentral:rRNA from 1 species